rnacentral:lncRNA from 1 species
GAAAGUCAAGAGGAAACAGGCAUAUUUUGAAAGGGGUAAACUUCUCUCUUUGUUCUGGAAAGCUGAACUUCAUGCUGGGGAUGGAACUCAGGGUUCCAUGGUUUAUAUCUAGAUGUCCUCAAAGGCCUCAUGUGCUCAUAGCUCUCUGCUUCCUGUUUACCCUGCCGUGGACUGUUUCUCCUCUGUGAUUCCCAUCUGCCAUGCUGCAUGCCUUGGAGCCAGCCAACUACAGCUAGAAAUCUCUACAAAGGAGCAUGCUGGGUCUGCCCUGAGGAAUCUGGGUAAACAGGAGACAUGGAACCAGGAGUCCCAGCUUGGAGUGUCCAACAUCAGAGAAAGCCAGGAUUUUGUGUGAGAAGAAACACACACCUCAAUUCAACAGGAAGAUUAUUUUUAACUGUUUGGUGGGGAGUGGGAGGAAGUGGUGGAAGCUCUGGGAGGUAGAGCCUUCAUCAGUUACUCUCAGUAUUUCUUGGAACUUUGUACAAUGGGGGGUGAGAAUAUACAACAUGCAGAUGAAAGUGCCCCUGGAAAGAACACAGUGAUUUCCAGCAAAAUGAUUCCCCUCCAUGAAAUAGACUUCCAUGAGUGCUCCAGGACCACCCAGCUGUUCUGCUUUCCUAUUGCUAUAACCUGCUCCCUCCUGAAGAAGCCCCUAGACUUGCUUCAGUGCUGAUUGUUGCCUUGCUUGUCCUGGCAGUUUUAUCACCUGAGCUAACUCCUUGAAUACUAGAGUCUGAACAUGUUGGACUAAAGACUUUAUAUGUGGAAGAGUAGUCUGGUUCCUUUUAUUCAAUGUCAUGGAUCUUUCCAUUCUAUACCAUUCCCUUCCCAGAACCAUUUCUCAUAGCCAUGAGGAGAGGUUGUGAAGUUUUCAUCAACUGUGAUAAUUGAGCAGGGGAGGUACAGGGGUUGUGCAGGCAUAGCUGGCCCUCUCCGAACACAUGCAUGAACACACACACAUGCACAUGCACACCCACUUCUUGCAUGUCAGCUGGUAUCCCACCCUGCCACCCUCCUGAGCCCCUCAACCUGCCCAGGCACUCUCCCACCCAGGAGCAGUUACAACAUCCCAGUGCUUAGCCCGGUUGGGUCAUGGCCCAUCUGCUUCCUAUGGCCUCCAAUUUGUAAAGAGGAGGAGACAAUGGCAAGGAGAGAUCCGGGGAAGCCACAGAGAAUCCAAACAGAAAAGAGGAACUUAGGGCUAUAAGUCAAAAGAGCUGGGAGGCCUUCUACAUCCAUUUCCCCAACUUUCAGAAGAUACUGCUGAGGGCCAGAGUAGUCUGAAUAUUUGUAUCUUUCCAAAAUUCAUAAGCUGAAGUCCAAAUCACCAAGGUGAUGGUAACAGGAGAUAGGGUCCUCUGGUUGGUAAUUUAGCCAUGGGGGAAGAGCCCUUAGGACUAUGAUUAGCGCUUUUAUAAAAGAGACCCCAGAGAGCUCGUCUGCCCUUGCCACCGUAG